CUCAAGGACCCGCCUGUUGCUGAAGCCGGGAUCGAUGGCAACCAAUUUGAGACGAGUGCUUCUUCUUCUCUGUCUCAGUCCAAAGACUCCAAGAAGAAAAACGGCUUCUGCGCCUUGUUCUGCAACGUCUUCUCGAAGGAGGAACAGAAGAUGAAUACAAGAACAAGAGUCCUCUGUGGAUGCAGCUGUGGUGCCUACUACUAACCCUUUAAUAAACACUAUGCAAUACAUUUGCAUCAACUAAA